AACCUUGGCAAUGUGCGAAAGCACGACCAGGUUAAUCCGAGUGUUUCCUGCUAAAGGAAUCUUUUGUUAGUUUUUAAAGCACUAUCGAAUAAGGGGUGGGCAAGUUCUGGUGUCAGCCGCCGCGGUAAAACCAGCACCUCGAGUGGUCAGGAGGUUUAUUGGGCCUAAAGCAUCCGUAGCCGGCUGUCCAAGUCUUCGGUUAAAUCCAUCUGCUCAACAGAUGGGCCGCCGGAGAUACUAGACAGCUAGGGAGUGGAAGAGGUGGAUGGUACUCGAUGGGAAGGGGUAAAAUCCUUUGAUCCAUUGAAGACCACCUGUGGCGAAGGCGGUCCACCAGAACAUGUCCGACGGUGAGGGAUGAAAGCUGGGGGAGCAAACCGG
rnacentral:rRNA from 1 species